rnacentral:rRNA from 1 species
AACGAACGCUGGCGGCAUGCCUAACACAUGCAAGUCGAACGAGACCUUCGGGUCUAGUGGCGUACGGGUGCGUAACGCGUGGGAACCUGCCCUUAGGUUCGGAAUAACUCCCCGAAAGGGGUGCUAAUACCGGAUAAUUUCUUCGGACCAAAGAUUUAUCGCCUCUGGAUGGGCCCGCGUUGGAUUAGCUAGUUGGUAGGGUAAAAGCCUACCAAGGCGACGAUCCAUAGCUGGUCUGAGAGGAUGAUCAGCCACACUGGGACUGAGACACGGCCCAGACUCCUACGGGAGGCAGCAGUGGGGAAUAUUGGACAAUGGGCGAGAGGCGGAUCCAGCGAUGCCGCGUGAGUGAUGAAGGCCUUAGGGUUGUAAAGCUCUUUUACCCGGGAUGAUAAUGACAGUACCGGGAGAAUAAGCUCCGGCUAACUCCGUG